rnacentral:other from 1 species
AUUACCCUGCUGUGUUCGUGAUGUUGCGACACCGGUUUUGAGCCAACACUAAAAAAAGGGAUCCUCUACUCAACAGGGUAACGCGUUAGGCUUCGGCCAAGGCGGGUCUCUGUGGCAGGAUCCACCUGCUUCGGCAGGUUCAAAACUACGCAGCACACGGCAUGGUGGGGUCUUU